AAGUCGUAACAAGGUUUCCGUAGGUGAACCUGCGGAAGGAUCAUUAUCGAGUUUUGAACGGGUUGUAGCUGGCCUCAAUACGGGGCAUGUGCACGCCUGGCUCAUCCACUCCUUAACCUCUGUGCACUUUUUGUAGGCUCUGGUUGAAAAGGCGUUGCUUCACUUCGGUGUUGUGAUCGCUGGAAGACCUGGUCUAUGUUUUAUUACAAACGCUUCAGUUAUAGAAUGUUUAUCUGCGUAUAACGCAUUUAUAUACAACUUUCAGCAACGGAUCUCUUGGCUCUC
rnacentral:misc_RNA from 1 species